GAACGCAUCUUGCGCUCUCUGGUAUUCCGGAGAGCAUGCCUGUUUGAGUGUCAUGAAUCUCUCAAAUACAAAACUUUAUUGUUUUUGUGUUUGGACUUGGAAGCUGUCGGCGCAAGUCGACUCUUCUUAAAUGCAUUAGCUGGGGUUUAUAUAGUGGAUCCUUGGUGUGAUAAUUAUCUACGCCUUGAAGUCCCUGUAGACCUUGCUUCAAACCGUCUUACUAUGAGACAAUUUUGAAUCAUCUGGCCUCAAAUCAGGUAGGACUACCCGCUGAACUUAAGC
rnacentral:misc_RNA from 1 species